CCUGAACUCUACAAGCGGUGAUUCUUUCACGACAUGAGUGUCAAACUUAACAUCUUUCUGUUGGUGCUUCUGGUGGCAACCAUAAGUUCGCAAGGGUUCAAUCUCAGAAAGAAAGACGAUUCUAAAGAUGAGAAACCUUUUGGUAUCGAUCGCCGAUUUGAUACAUGUCAAAAC